rnacentral:rRNA from 1 species
UAGCUAGUUGGUGAGGUAAAGGCUUACCAAGGCGACGAUCUGUAGCGGGUCUGAGAGGAUGAUCCGCCACACUGGAACUGAGACACGGUCCAGACUCCUACGGGAGGCAGCAGUGGGGAAUUUUGGACAAUGGGGGCAACCCUGAUCCAGCCAUGCCGCGUGAGUGAAGAAGGCCUUCGGGUUGUAAAGCUCUUUCGGCCGGGAAGAAAUCGCAUGGGCCAAUACCCUGUGUGGAUGACGGUACCGGAAUAAGAAGCACCGGCUAACUACGUGCCAGCAGCCGCGGUAAUACGUAGGGUGCGAGCGUUAAUCGGAAUUACUGGGCGUAAAGCGUGCGCAAGCGGUUUUGUAAGACAGGCGUGAAAUCCCCGGGCUUAACCUGGGAACUGCGUUUGUGACUGCAAGGCUAGAGUACGGCAGAGGGGGGUGGAAUUCCACGUGUAGCAGUGAAAUGCGUAGAGAUGUGGAGGAACACCAAUGGCGAAGGCAGCCCCCUGGGUCGAUACUGACGCUCAUGCACGAAAGCGUGGGUAGCAAACAGGAUUAGAUACCCUGGUAGUCCACGCCCUAAACUAUGUCAACUAGGUGUUGGGUGGGUAAAACCAUUUAGUACCGUAGCUAACGCGUGAAGUUGACCGCCUGGGGAGUACGGCCGCAAGGUUAAAACUCAAAGGAAUUGACGGGGACCCGCACAAGCGGUGGAUGAUGUGGAUUAAUUCGAUGCAACGCGAAAAACCUUACCUACCCUUGACAUGCCAGGAACUUGCCAGAGAUGGCUCGGUGCCCGAAAGGGAGCCUGGACACAGGUGCUGCAUGGCUGUCGUCAGCUCGUGUCGUGAGAUGUUGGGUUAAGUCCCGCAACGAGCGCAACCCUUGUCGUUAAUUGCCAUCAUUUAGUUGGGCACUUUAACGAGACUGCCGGUGACAAACCGGAGGAAGGUGGGGAUGACGUCAAGUCCUCAUGGCCCUUAUGGGUAGGGCUUCACACGUCAUACAAUGGUCGGUACAAAGGGUUGCCAAGCCGCGAGGCGGAGCCAAUCCCAGAAAGCCGAUCGUAGUCCGGAUUGCAGGCUUCAACUCGCCUGCAUGAAGUCGGAAUCGCUAGUAAUCGUGGAUCAGCAUGUCACGGUGAAUACGUUCCCGGGUCUUGUACACACCGCCCGUCACACCAUGGGAGCGGGUUCCGCCAGAAGUAGGUAGCCUAACCGCAAGGGGGGCGCUUACCACGGCGGGGUUCGUGACUGGGGUGAAGUCGUAACAAGGUAGCCGUAGGGGAACCUGCGGCUG